rnacentral:lncRNA from 1 species
UGACUUGUUCUUGAAGGAAGCAAGGAUGCCUCCUGCCUACAUUUGGGUCUUGGAUUGACUCACUACAUCACAGGACUGCUGGGCUCCAGGAUGCGAAGAUCCAGCCACAACUGGCACCAGAGAACAAGAGAAGCUUCCUUUCCAUCUCUGGUGGCCUGCUCACCAAAGACCCUCUGGUCCCGUCAACUUGGUGUUAACUCUUGGGUGUAAAUGCCUUUGAGAAAAUACCCACUGCACCUCCUACAGUGAAUCCCACUGCUCACACAGGGUUUGUAUGAAGUCUGCCCUUUAUGGGCCAUCUACACAUCUCCUGUAUAAGAUACAGAAGAGACUUCCGGAAGUGCUUCCUCCCUUCUUUCUCUGGAGCUCCAGCUGCAGGACCACCGUGAGGAAGCUGUCACCGCCGCUAAGGCUGGCUGCCCUCUCUGGGAGUUGCACUUCCUUCCUCCGGUCCCUAAUCUGAGGACUGCUGGAUUGCAGACUUGGACCCUACCAAGCCGGUGGCGGCGAGGACGCAAACACCAUUGAGGGGGCUUCCGUGGGUCCGCGGUCUCGCGCUCCGCCGUGCAGAACGAACUGUUAGUGGGCGCUACUGAUCGCGCCGCGCUCGCGGCCUCGCCCCAUUCACACGGCCCCGCGUAAUGAAUUCGUCCAUUUAAAUACAUUACAGGAAUAUUGGAGAUUGCGGAGGACGUGACACUUGACCCUGCAACCCGAACCCCGCAGGGGCAGCCGCCGCCUUGCAAAGUAGCAGUCCCCGAGCAGCGCCGCGCGGCGGUGGCCGGCCAAGCCCUCCGGGAGCUCUCCGGGUCCCCUUCCUCGCCCCCACCCCCGCCUUGCUCGCAGCUUGCCUCUGUCGACCCCUUCCCGCAGCCGCGUUUCAAUCAAACUCACUGAGACGGCACCGAGCGGGCGCCGGGGACAAGAAACGCCUCGCCAGCGACAACGCGCGAACAAGCGGAGCCGCGGGCCCCGGCGCCUCCGCCCACACGCGCCCCGCGUGCUGAAACCCGCACCUGGCCCACGGGUAGCCGGAAAAGCCGGGUCCCGGCCCGCCCGCCGGGCCGCCCCUGCUCCCGCUCCCCCAGCUCCAAGCGCUGCGGCUCAGAAACCCACCCGCCCGGCCCAGCCCCCGCCGGAGCCCUGCACCUUGGGGAGCCGGAGGCUGGGGAGGGGACCAGAGAAGGGGAAGAAGGGGCAUCGCCCUUCUUCCUACCCUGGGACAGCGCCUGGACUGGAGCUGGGUGCCGAGGAAACGACGGGAAGAGCUGACAGAGAGGCGGAGGGAGAAAAGAAAGGAAAAGAGGCAGAGACGAGGAAGGGAAGAAAGGGAUCCGAAGUGACCCGCCCUCGGGCCUCCGCGCCGGUGAUGCCCCGCGCCCAGGGCGAGGCCGUGCUUCGCGGGCAUGAGAAGCCAGGAGGCAGCGGAGUGCGGGUCUGGGGCACCGGGGACAUUGCCAAACAUAAUUGGGGUGCCAAACUGGGCUUCUUAAUCUCGAAGCCAGGAUGGGCGGGUGUGGCCGGGGGUGCGCGGGGUCAGCCAGCUUGGGGUGCUUUCCUUCGGGGCUCACACCGGCAGCGCGGACCGGCCGAGGCCGCUGGGACUGCAAGUCCGCCGCCUGCUUUUGUUCUGGGUUCUGCUGUAAUUUAACAUAAAACGCCUGUUAGAAUCACUGCUGCCGAAACACGCGUUUCUCCUUGUUUUGCCACCAACUAACAGGAUUAGGCAACAAGAGCGAGAUUUCAAAUUAACCAUAAAAAUGACAAAUUGCAAUUCAUUUAGCUGCCCACUUACUACAUUAAAAAACAUAAAUAAAUGAAUCUGCGUAUUCAGAGGGUUGAACGGCCCGCAAGGAAGCGAAAGCGGUUGAACUCAGGCCUCCGGGUGGGAGUCAGGGCUGUGGCGCUGGCGAGAGCGGGCCGCCGCGGAAUUCGCACCGUCUUCCAAGGGCCCGGAAAGAGGC